rnacentral:RNase_P_RNA from 1 species
GGAGUGGGCCAGGCGGUCGCUGCUGGGAUGGUCGAAGAUCAUCCCAGUGGAGGAAAGUCCGGGCUCCGCAGGACACGGUGGUGGAUAACGUCCACCAUCCGCGAGGAUCGGGAAAGUGCCACAGAAAACACACCGCCGAUGGAGGAACCGUGUUUCCUCACAGGUAAGGGUGAAAUGGUGCGGUAAGAGCGCACCGCGUUGCUGGUGACAGCGAUGGCAGGGUAAACCCCACCGGGAGCAAGACCGAGCAGGAGGGAGGAACUGUCCGUUCCGCCUGACCUCCGGGUAGGUCGCGUCGAGGUGGCGAGCAAUCGUCACCCCAGAGAAAUGACCGCUCACGACAUAACCCGGCUUAUCGGCCCACUCCCCUU